rnacentral:tRNA from 1 species
CGGAGCGUAGCGCAGUCUGGUUAGCGCACUAGUCUGGGGGACUAGGGGUCGGAGGUUCAAAUCCUCUCGCUCCGACCA